GAGCCUUGCUCUUUUGCCCAGGCUGGAGUGAAGUGGUGCAAUCUCGGCUCACUGCAGCCCUCUGCCUCCCAGGUUCCAGAGAUUCUCCUGCCUCAGGCUCCUGGCUAGCUGAAAUUACAGAUGUUUCAUAUUAAGAAGUCAUUAACUUGACUGCAGUUACUCUUUCUCCUGCAUGACGCAGGACAAGAACCCAGGACCUGCGGAACACGAGUACAAAAAAUGCUGAAACACUGUAGUCCUCCACCCUCUGGAAGCACCAGGCAGCUGCCCCAGAAGACAGGCAAUGGCAGGGCUGGGCCAGCCCAAAAGCCAUGGGCUAGAGGGGGGUGGUGGGAAGGAGAGAAGAGUUAUGACCCUUCUGGGGUCCUAGACCUCGGGGAUCCCUGAGCGAGAGCUGUAACACUCUGUAACACACCCCUUGGGGCUCCAGGGCCACUGGCAUCUCCAAAUUUGGGGGGCGCCACCAUGUUCCUCUCAUCUAGACACGAACACCCAAGGCAGAAGCAACUUGUAGUAUGCCUGGUCCAGCCGCAGCCUCACGCAGCGCCGGCACCUGUGUGGCCACCUGGAGCUCCCCGCCCUGCAGCAGCAGCCAGUGCUGACACAUCCCUCGCCACUCCGCACCUGGCUCGCCUUUGGUGGGUGUGAGAUCCAGGCCGGGGCGCAAGCCAUGCUCAGCGGACUGGGCUGAGUGGGCAGGAUAUCUCCAGAGGCAAUCCCGGAGCCAACAGAGGCCUUGGGCAGGGGCAUUUCCAGCCGCAGAGGUCUCCGGCUGGAGAAGAACUGAAAAAUUCCUGCAUUAUAUGUAUACUGGAAAUUUGGUAAGAGAGUAGAUCUUAAGUGUUCUCACCAUGCACACACACACACACACAAACACACACACACACACGAUAGAAAGUCAUCCAUGUGAAGUGAUGAAUGUGUUACCUACCUAGAUUGCGGUAAUAAUUUCACAAUGUAUACAUACAUCAAAUCAUCACAUUAUAUACCUUAAACAUAUACAGCUUUAUUUGGCAAUUAUACCUCACUAAAGCUUUGAAAAUAUUUUGCAGUUUAUUCUCAAGGUUUGAAAUAUAGGAAAAAUUAUCAAAAUUAUACUUGC
rnacentral:lncRNA from 10 species